rnacentral:misc_RNA from 1 species
UUAAACUAUUUAAUAGUACUCAGACGACACUAACAUUCAGAGUUUUAGGGGUCCUCUGGCGGGCACGCCGGACGCGAAUCCGGGCAAGCCAGGCUUGCGGCCCGCCAAAGCAACAUUCGAUAAUAUUACACAAGGGUGGGAGAUCUACCCCGAAGGGCAUGAACUCUGUAAUGAUCCUUCCGCAGGUUCACCUACGGAAA